AGUGAACGCUGGCGGUAGGCCUAACACAUGCAAGUCGAACGGCAGCACAGUAAGAGCUUGCUCUUACGGGUGGCGAGUGGCGGACGGGUGAGGAAUACAUCGGAAUCUACUUUUUCGUGGGGGAUAACGUAGGGAAACUUACGCUAAUACCGCAUACGACCUACGGGUGAAAGCAGGGGAUCUUCGGACCUUGCGCGAUUGAAUGAGCCGAUGUCGGAUUAGCUAGUUGGCGGGGUAAAGGCCCACCAAGGCGACGAUCCGUAGCUGGUCUGAGAGGAUGAUCAGCCACACUGGAACUGAGACACGGUCCAGACUCCUACGGGAGGCAGCAGUGGGGAAUCUUGGACAAUGGGCGCAAGCCUGAUCCAGCCAUACCGCGUGAGUGAAGAAGGCCUUCGGGUUGUAAAGCCCUUUUGUUGGGAAAGAAAAGCAGCAGGUUAAUACCCCGCUGUUCUGACGGUACCCAAAGAAUAAGCACCGGCUAACUUCGUG
rnacentral:rRNA from 1 species